GCUCCCGAGUUUUAACGGAUCCCCAAGAAGCAGGAAGUGAGGACAGAACCAGGCUCCAAGGGACCGGCAGAGAAACCCGUCUCAGCAUCUCGCCAGGCUCCUCCUUCCCCCGUGGGCUCCUGUCCUGUCCUCCUCUCCUCCUGCCUGGCCCAGCUCAGGCUCUGAGACUCUGUGACAUCACAGUGCAGGGAACACCAUCCUGGUGGGUGGGACCUGACUGGCCACUUGGCAGCCGGCGGGAAUGAGCAGCUGCCACCCUUGGACCCCCCAGAACGCCACUUCCAUGGGGACCAGCAGGCCAGCGGAGCCGUGUCUGAAGUUUUCUUUGGAGAUUUGCAGAGCUGCCGUGAACACGGAGGGGAAGUCUCUGACACCCCGAGGGUCCUCAGACCAAGGCCAGAGGGGACGCGGCGACCUGAAACUGAAAGACGAGUUCCAUUUUUUAAGGAAACAGUGAUGAGAACGUAUGAAGUCAACUCCCUGGAGGUCUUGCCUGCAGCUUGCAAAACACAAAAGCAGACAAUGUCUCACAAACUUUCCAGCUUUGGGCCUCAGCAUGGGAUCCCCUAGCAGCAGAAGACAAGGAGAAGGAAAUAGGCACAGCUCUUUUUCCAUUUUUGCUUCAAACAUAAAAUGUUUACAGUUUCAUUCUGUGUGCAAAAUUUGAGCCCUGUAUUGAGUGAAGAAAUAAUGCCCAUGACUGGGGCAGUGAAAAACUGCAGUUGGUAUCCCAUGGUUCACCUGGGGCCGCACCUGCCUGGAGUUGGUAUCCCAUGGUUCACCUGGGGCCGCACCUGCCUGGAGUUGGUAUCCCAUGGUUCACCUGGGGCCGCACCUGCCUGGAGUUGGUAUCCCAUGGUUCACCUGGGCCGCACCUGCCUGGAGUUGGUAUCCCAUGGUUCACCUGGGGCCGCACCUGCCUGGAGUUGGUAUCCCAUGGUUCACCUGGGCCGCAUCUGCCUGGAGUUGGUAUCCCAUGGUUCACCUGGGGCCGCACCUGCUUGGAGUUGGUAUCCCAUGGUUCACCUGGGCUGCAUCUGCCUGGAGUUGGUAUCCCAUGGUUCACCUGGGCCACACCUGCCUGGAGUUGGUAUCCCAUAGUUCACCUGGGGCCGCACCUACCUAGAGUUGGUAUCCCAUGGUUCACCUGGGCCGCACCUGCCUGGAGUUGUUACUCUGGGGUGCAGCUGGGGCCGCACCUGCCUGGAGUUGGUAUCCCAUGGUUCACCUGGGCCACACUGCCUGGAGUUGUUACUCUGGGGUGCAGCUGGGGUCACACCUGCCUGGAGUUGGUAUCCUGUGGCUCCAAAUGUGAUGCCUCAAAUGCACUAUGUGGACUGGAGUUUUCAUUAUCUAACAGAGAGAACAUGUAAGUUUGAGGUCCCAGUUGAUUAAAUUAAAAACUACCCAACUAUUCUGCACUGUAUUAUAGAGCCAAGAGCAUGAAUGUAUCCAAAGUCUUCCUUGGAAGUUAGGAGUUUGGGAUUUAUGUCCACCCCUAGUUUCUCAGGCAACAUUUUCUACCUUACACACACACACCACACACACACAUACACGCACACACACACAUGUGCAUGCACACAGAGUGUUGAAAAGUUCAUGGAAGAGCAUGUUAUGCAAAACCUAUGUAUAGAUUUCUAAAAUUUUGCACCCAAUUCAGCUUAUCUUUUAAUUCCACUUUUCUGCAAACUUUUUGCGCUUUCUUCAAACAGAUGAUGUAGAUGUGUAGAUACGACAGAGCUGGAUGUCUAGAUGCAGAGAGGCGUGUAGAUGUGCGGACAAUGGCAGAUGUGCACAGGUGUGAAGAGUAACAUCGAUCUGUAUUUUUAAAGGCGUCCCUGAGAUCUGGUGCUGGUGCACCCUUCAUUAAGUUUCUCAGAUGGGAAGUCAGCUUUAAUGGUGUCAGAAGUAUUUAUUGGUUUUUGUAAAAGCAAGAUAGAUUCAUUAUCAAAACGUUUAAUGCAGUGUCUGUCCCAGUGGGCUCCAGCCCUGCUAACAGCUGCUGUUGUCUUUGUGGUUUUAUCUUUGCGUCUCCACUUCACAAGUGGACUUUUUACUCACAGUGGACGGUGCGAUACGCACUGGGAGCUUACACAGAUCCAGCUCCGCGAUCUCCACCGAGGGCCACAUUUCCUGGGAGCGGGUGAUUCUGUCGCUGGUCCUCUCGGGGCCGUGAGUGCCCGGGAGUGUGGGGAGAAGGGGGGUGUGGCCCCCAUGUUCCUGGGUGGUCUGAACUCCCGGAGGCCUCUCCCCACAUGGCCAGUCUGUGUUGUUGAGCACUUUCCUGCCUGGGGAUCCUUAGCCCCCACCAUGCUUUUCGUUUUUGUUUCUUUAUGGGAUGAGCGUCGUCUUCCCCAUCCUGAGGACAGCGUGGCUGAUUUCGCAUCUACUUUCUUCCCAGCACUGCUCUCGCCCGUGGAGAGAGUGAUUUCUGUAACAGCAUCUUCGGCUUGCUUUUCAUUUGGUGCAAAAUGUCAGGCAGCCUAGAUACCUUCCAGUCCUCCAAGCAAUACGUCUUCCUCCAAGUAUGAUCUCCACCCCUUGUUCCAGCCCAGUUCUCACUGUGCCUGGCUUUUGGCGAGACCUCUCCCCGUGCUGGCCUGAGUCUCCUUCCCCUGGCAGCUUGUCCACCUCAGCAGGUGCAGGAGAGAGCAGACCUCGUCUCACCAAGCCUUGACAUGAUUUGCAGCCCUGAGCAGCAGUGGACUGCAGCCACGUGGAAGGCCCAGAGCCAUCGGCACCCGGCUAAGCUGGCCCAUAGGCACGAUGAGAUGGUGAAUAAUUGUUGUUUGAAGCCAUGAUGAUUUGAGCUCAUUGUGAUAGAAAAUGAAUUUUAGUGCCCAAACGUGGAGUUCUGCCGUAAGAAAAACCUGAAGAUGUGAGGAUGGCUGGGGGUUGGGUAGUGGGGAGUGGCUGGGAGGACUUUGAGUGUGUAGAAAAGCUUGCCUUCCUUCAGUCGGGCACCGCAGAAAUCGGGUUCUGGGGGCCAGCACUGUGGUGUAGCAGGUAAAGCCGCUGCCUGUGGUGCCGGCAUCCCAUAUGGGCGCCGAUUCAAGACCCGGCUGCUCCGCUUCCAAACCAGCUCUCUGCUAUGGCCUGGGAAGGCAGUGGAGGAUGGCCCAUGUGACAGACCUCGCUCCUAGCUUCAGAUCUGCACGGCUCCGGCUGUUGUAGACACUUGGGGAGUGAACAAGCAGGUGGAAGUCCUCUCUCUUGGUCUUCCCCUCUCUCUCUCUGUAACUCUGCCUCCCAAACAAAUAAAUAAAAUCUUAAAAAAA